CGGAGAGUUUGAUCCUGGCUCAGGACGAACGCUGGCGGCGUGCUUAACACAUGCAAGUCGAGCGGUAAGGCCUUUCGGGGUACACGAGCGGCGAACGGGUGAGUAACACGUGGGUGAUCUGCCCUGCACUCUGGGAUAAGCUUGGGAAACUGGGUCUAAUACCGGAUAUGACCGCAUGCCGCAUGGUGUGUGGUGGAAAGAUUUAUCGGUGCAGGAUGGGCCCGCGGCCUAUCAGCUUGUUGGUGGGGUAAUGGCCUACCAAGGCGACGACGGGUAGCCGACCUGAGAGGGUGACCGGCCACACUGGGACUGAGACACGGCCCAGACUCCUACGGGAGGCAGCAGUGGGGAAUAUUGCACAAUGGGCGGAAGCCUGAUGCAGCGACGCCGCGUGAGGGAUGAAGGCCUUCGGGUUGUAAACCUCUUUCAGCAGGGACGAAGCGUGAGUGACGGUACCUGCAGAAGAAGCACCGGCUAACUACGUGCCAGCAGCCGCGGUAAUACGUAGGGUGCGAGCGUUGUCCGGAAUUACUGGGCGUAAAGAGUUCGUAGGCGGUUUGUCGCGUCGUUUGUGAAAACCCGGGGCUCAACUUCGGGCUUGCAGGCGAUACGGGCAGACUUGAGUGUUUCAGGGGAGACUGGAA
rnacentral:rRNA from 1 species